AGUGAACGCUGGCGGUAGGCCUAACACAUGCAAGUCGAACGGCGGCACAGUAAGAGCUUGCUCUUACGGGUGGCGAGUGGCGGACGGGUGAGGAAUACAUCGGAAUCUACUUUUUCGUGGGGGAUAACGUAGGGAAACUUACGCUAAUGCCGCAUACGACCUACGGGUGAAAGCAGGGGAUCUUCGGACCUUGCGCGAUUGAAUGAGCCGAUGUCGGAUUAGCUAGUUGGCGGGGUAAAGGCCCACCAAGGCGACGAUCCGUAGCUGGUCUGAGAGGAUGAUCAGCCACACUGGAACUGAGACACGGUCCAGACUCCUACGGGAGGCAGCAGUGGGGAAUAUUGGACAAUGGGCGCAAGCCUGAUCCAGCCAUACCGCGUGGGUGAAGAAGGCCUUCGGGUUGUAAAGCCCUUUUGUUGGGAAAGAAAAGCAGCAGGUUAAUACCCCGCUGUUCUGACGGUACCCAAAGAAUAAGCACCGGCUAACUUCGUG
rnacentral:rRNA from 1 species